rnacentral:tRNA from 1 species
UACUAGAAAGCUUGCAAUAGCAUUGGGCUUUUAAUCCAAAUAAGGUUAUAAACCUCUAGUAA